GGAGGCGACAAAGCCCCCCCGACUUGACCGGUUCGCCGGUCCGUCGCCCCCGCUCCUCAUUCUCGAUGAUGCCACCUCAAGGCGGACCCGAAACGGUCCGCUU
rnacentral:sRNA from 1 species